CUUUCUCUUCUUUCAUUCACUGUUAAACUUCUAGAAGGAGAAUUCAAAGCCUGCUACCUCCAAUUUCUCACCAAGUUCUUAAGCUGCAGCUUCUUUGGCUUCCAGCAGCUUCUGACCCAGCCUUGUUCCUGCCAAACUCCUUGUGGAGACUGGACCCAGUUCCCAGUGCCCCACUGCUGGCCAGAGUCCAGUUCUGACUGGGCAGAAAUUCCAGAGGAGGGAAGCUGAUCCCCACCUGACUCUGAGGAUCACUGUCUGCCUGGACCUCCUGCUGCUGCUAGUGCUCCAUUCCAUCAGCUCUCCCUUGGAUGUGGCUGCCUCUGGAACAGAGCUCAAGACUCUUUUGCCCCUUUGGACACUAUAUUGCACUGCUGGCUGUGUCCUCCCUGAUGAUUCCCUCUUACAACCAAGUUGUAUAUUUCUAGGCACAUCUUCAAGUCCUGGCCUCAUCCCUUUCCUCAACUGCCUGACAUGCUGAGAGCCCAGCCUGUCUCAUGGGUGAUCUUCUCCACUGCCACAACUGAUCAGUCACCUCUACAAGGCCCCCUGUCUUUGCAUCUGCAGGACUCAGCACAGCCCUUGGCAUAAAGCAGCUGCUGCCUCUGCAUCUCCUCUGUGGAUCCAGCUCCUGCUGUACAAACUCUCCACG